UCGCUGCUGCGCCUUCGCCUCCAUCGCUGCGGAUCGUUUUGCAUCUGUUGGGGCCUUUGCGUGGGUUUGCGUUGCCUUUGCUGCGCCUCCAUUGUUUUGCUGCGUCUCUUGGAGGUCUGCUGCCUAGCAAAUCUGAGAAACGAUUUGGGUUCAAAGGUAAACAAUUUCAUUUCUCCCUCGUGUUCAUCUCUAAGAUUGGAAUUUAGCAAUAUUUGUAUGCCUUCUUGUAUCGUUUUUCUGGGUUUUGCUAAGUAAAUAUGUUCAAAAUUUAGACUUGGGAGUUUGCGUAAACAUAAGCUUAUAGUUCUAAGUUGACAUUGUGAUACAAAUGGGUAAAUGAUUAGGAUUAGAGCAUUUGAUUUUUGCUUGUUGGUUAGGGUUGAGUAGAAGCUUAUGUUUUUGGCUGUGGCCUGUGGCAGGGUUUAGUAGAAUUUAAUUAUGUGCUUGUGGAUGUGGGUAUUGCUUAUUUAUACAUGAUAUAGAAUACAGAGGAAGGUUUAUAUGGGACAAGGUACAGGUGGGUAAUAGGGACUAGAGAAGUUAGUGAUUUGUAUCAAUAAGCUAGGUUGUGAAGAUUCAUAUCAGUAUUAGAUGCAAAAGGGGAGUCUUAUGAAAGAAGAACAUAAAAUGAUCAUUGCAGAACCUUCAUCUGAAACUAAGCUCAUACAAUCAUAAAGAGAUGCAAUAAGAAGAAACUACUAAUUGUGCAAUUAUGUUAACGAAUUAAUCAGCAGAUCAAAUUUAUGACAUAGACACAUGCGUGUUUUCCCCUGUUAAUGACUGAAGUGGCAAAAAUGCCUUAGUUUCUACAUUAUCAACAUCAUUGUUCCGUUUCACUGUAAAAUCUUGCUAAUUGGAAGUAACCUAGUCUAAUAUAUAGCUAUCUUUGCAUUCCCUGUGUGAUGAGUGUUCAUGAGAUUGAAGUUUACAAUUAGGAAAUUUUAAUCAACCUUCAGAAAGUAACCAAUUAGGAUUUUGUAUACUUUCUUAUGUGGUUUCUUAUGUUUUCUCUGCAAUAUACUCAAUAUCAUUUUUAAAAUCGACUACCUUCAUUGAAGUUGAUAUAUAUAAUACCAUCACCCUUACUUGAGAAUAUGGAACCAUAUUUAAUAACACUACACUUGAACAUGUAUGAACCGUAUGUACACUACACUUGAACAUUUAUAAACCAUUCAUUGAACUUUUGUAAUGAAGUACCCAAUCUCCUAGAUUAAACUGAAAACAACACAUUAAUGAUUAUGGAAAUUAGAAAAUUACCUUGUAUAUAUUUGGAGCUUGCCAAUUGGGAUUCAUACCGGAAUUUAGUCUGCAUACUGCAGGAACACCAGUAUAAUAUGCUGCCUUUGCUUAAUUGCUUAUAUUCCAAUGAAGCUUUAUGAGGAUGAGAGGAAAAUGCAUUGUUUUAGUAGCUAUGAAAGCUAGUGAUCAUUGAGCAAGAAGCCAAAUGCAUUCCAAAUGCAUUUUGUAUGUGAAAACAGACAAAAUAAUAAAAAGUUAAAGUAAAAACUAGACCAUUUAUGCUAGAGUUUUAGGGGGUGUAGAUCAACUAGAUGAAGUUAUGGCUUUAGCUUGUGUUUGGUGCUGUAUGCCAGAAGGUUUAGGCUCCAGGGAUUAGUCUUGCCAGCACCUGCAAAUGUAUUCAUGUAUUGCUUAUAAAAGUAUGAUACAAUUUGAUACAGCUAGUGUGUGUGUGUGUGUAUUUUGAUCGGAUGGACUUUGACGAACCAAAAAAAAAAUAGAGAAGAAGAAGGAACAGCUACUAAUAAGCUAGAGCUAGCAUGAUAAUGUACGUAAUUAGACGAAACGAGCGAGAGACUAGUCUGGUACUUUAAACUGUAAAUGACACAGUUAGUAGCAGUAGGUAAGUAGGAAAGCAGGGAGUGGUGGAUUCAAAAUGAAUGAUUCAUAAAAUAAAGUAAAACGGGUGUAUACCAAAUUUUGCAGUUAGUCGUAAUGUUUAGUAUAUAACUAUAAUAUAUGCACCUGAUUAAUAAACAAAGUCAGCAUGUUAUAUAUCAUUUUGCUACGUAGUAAGUAGUACACAAAUACAAGUUGGGGAUAUCACUACAUAAUGGCAUGGCUAGCUAGGAUUGAAUUAUUGGCUAGCUAGGACCAUUAAUAUGGAUCGAUCAUAAAUAUAGUAGUGAUAGCUAAGCAAAAAAAAUCUGUGGCCAUAUGAAUUGGGGGG
rnacentral:lncRNA from 1 species